GCAGUAUGAUUACUUGACGCAAGGUGGCGUGGCAACAAGUAACAUCCGGGUCCUUCUCGCUGUUGCUGUCCGUGAACCAAAAUGGCGCCGCCGGUCGCAGUUUCUCCUCUUAUCAAGUUCUCGCGCUAUGCUGCCCUCUUCGUGGGAAUCGCAUAUGGCUCCAGGAAAAAUGCCAGACUAACAGUCUCAGAGGCAGAGGUCCGCAAAAUUGAAGAGAAGCAGAAAAAGGAGAGAGAGGAACGCGAGAGGAUUGCCAAGGAGUUGGCAGCUGCUAAUGAAGACACCAUAUUGAAGUAGUGCAGCCCACAUCUUGAAGUUUUCCAGAACCCCAUUCAGAAGAAGAUUCCACCAUACAUUGUGUGUACUUGCAAAAAAGCUGGGUCUAACUUAAGAACUGCAGAUUUGUUCCAAAUAUGAAGAUGUUCACUACUUCUGGGAUAAAAACCCUGUAGUCAUUGAAUUUCAAUCUCCUUAAUAUACAAGAUGUACUACAAUCCUUUGUGUAUACUUUGUCCUGAAAGGUGUGUUUCAAAGACCAUAUUAUGUUUGACCUUUCAUGAUCACACUAAUAAAAUGUGUCAGUGAAUCUGCA